rnacentral:rRNA from 1 species
AGAGCGAACGCUGGCGGCAGGCCUAACACAUGCAAGUCGAGCGGCCGUAGCAAUACGGCAGCGGCAGACGGGAGAGUAACACGUGGGAACGUGCCCAUCAGUUCGGAACAACCCAGGGAAACUUGGGCUAAUACCGGAUACGCCCUUACGGGGAAAGAUUUAUCGCUGAUGGAGCGGCCCGCGUCUGAUUAGCUAGUUGGUGAGGUAACGGCUCACCAAGGCGACGAUCAGUAGCUGGUCUGAGAGGAUGAUCAGCCUCACUGGGACUGAGACACGGCCCAGACUCCUACGGGAGGCAGCAGUGGGGAAUAUGGACAAUGGGCGCAAGCCUGAUCCAGCCAUGCCGCGUGGAUGAUGAAGGCCCUAGGGUUGUAAAGUCCGUUUCGGCGGGAAAGAGUAAAUGAACCGGUACCCGCAAGAAGAACGCCCGGACUAACGUUCGUGCCAGCAGCC